rnacentral:tRNA from 1 species
AAGGGGUUAGUCUAAAAAAGACUUUUAACUUCGACUUAAAGAAUCAUGGUUCAAAUCCACGGCCUCUUU